rnacentral:misc_RNA from 1 species
UCAAAAUCGAAGCUUUUCGGACAAUUCAACAAAAUCAGACAAACAUGCAGUGGCCUACCCAUUAGGUGAACACAGCACAUGCUGUGCACACAUACUAACUCACUCCAAUAGUGACGGGAAGCGAGCAUCGUACAAUUUUCUAUUGUACGGACAUAACCACCUCCAAUAAACUAUAGAGAGCAGAGGAUCGUCCACCUAUUAUGGCACAGCAUGAGGAAUUUCUGGAAUCAUCCUAACUAUCACGGAGCCCCAGGAAUCGGGUUUUAAAAAGACCAUGAUUCCUAGCCGGCCUAUACUCAAG